rnacentral:rRNA from 1 species
CCUACGGGUGGCAGCAGUGGGGAAUAUUGGACAAUGGGCGAAAGCCUGAUCCAGCCAUGCCGCGUGUGUGAAGAAGGCCUUCGGGUUGUAAAGCACUUUCAGUGGGGAAGAAAGCCUUGGGGCUAAUACCCUCGAGGAAGGACAUCACCCACAGAAGAAGCACCGGCUAACUCCGUGCCAGCAGCCGCGGUAAUACGGAGGGUGCGAGCGUUAAUCGGAAUUACUGGGCGUAAAGCGCGCGUAGGCGGUCUGAUAAGCCGGUUGUGAAAGCCCCGGGCUCAACCUGGGAACGGCAUCCGGAACUGUCAGGCUAGAGUGCAGGAGAGGAAGGUAGAAUUCCCGGUGUAGCGGUGAAAUGCGUAGAGAUCGGGAGGAAUACCAGGGGCGAAGGCGGCCUUCUGGACUGACACUGACGCUGAGGUGCGAAAGCGUGGGUAGCAAACAGGAUUAGAUACCCUAGUAGUC